GCCGAGGUAGCCAAGCCUGGAUUAAGGCGCUGGUCUUGAAAACCAGUGUCCGCUGGACUCAUGAGUUCAAAUCUCAUCCUCGGCGCCA
rnacentral:tRNA from 1 species